CCUACGGGUGGCAGCAGUGGGGAAUAUUGGACAAUGGGGGGAACCCUGAUCCAGCCAUGCCGCGUGUGUGAAGAAGGCCCUCGGGUUGUAAAGCACUUUCAGUGAGGAAGAACGCCUGGUGGUUAAUACCCAUCAGGAAAGACAUCACUCACAGAAGAAGCACCGGCUAACUCCGUGCCAGCAGCCGCGGUAAUACGGAGGGUGCGAGCGUUAAUCGGAAUUACUGGGCGUAAAGCGCGCGUAGGUGGCUUGAUAAGCCGGUUGUGAAAGCCCCGGGCUCGACCUGGGAACGGCAUCCGGAACUGUCAAGCUAGAGUGCAGGAGAGGAAGGUAGAAUUCCCGGUGUAGCGGUGAAAUGCGUAGAGAUCGGGAGGAAUACCAGUGGCGAAGGCGGCCUUCUGGACUGACACUGACACUGAGGUGCGAAAGCGUGGGUAGCAAACAGGAUUAGAUACCCUAGUAGUC
rnacentral:rRNA from 1 species